rnacentral:rRNA from 1 species
AACGAACGCUGGCGGCAUGCCUAACACAUGCAAGUCGAACGAGACCUUCGGGUCUAGUGGCGCACGGGUGCGUAACGCGUGGGAACCUGCCCUUAGGUUCGGAAUAACUCCCCGAAAGGGGUGCUAAUACCGGAUAAUGUCUUCGGACCAAAGAUUUAUCGCCUUUGGAUGGGCCCGCGUUGGAUUAGCUAGUUGGUAGGGUAAAAGCCUACCAAGGCGACGAUCCAUAGCUGGUCUGAGAGGAUGAUCAGCCACACUGGGACUGAGACACGGCCCAGACUCCUACGGGAGGCAGCAGUGGGGAAUAUUGGAAAAUGGGCGAAAGCCUGAUCCAGCAAUGCCGCGUGAGUGAUGAAGGCCUCAGGGUUGUAAAGCUCUUUUACCCGGGAUGAUAAUGACAGUACCGGGAGAAUAAGCUCCGGCUAACUCCGUG